GAAAACUCUUCAUGGACUAUAAAUUAGGUUGUUGUGUAUUUCCAUAAGAGUACAUAAUGUUGCACAAGAAGCUCAAAAGGAAAAUCAUCUCCAUUUACAAAUAUUGGACAGUAAAGGCCAAUUUGCUGCACAUUAUGCACUAGCAGUGGCCAUGCAUAUGUAGAAUUGUUUUUCGAUUAGCAUUUGAUGUAAAAUAAGCCAAAGCAACAAUGUUGCCUCAAGGGUCAGAAGGACACCCUUCACACCUUAUCAUCAUGGAACCACCACCUGGUUUCCUUGGGAGAUCUGCCGUUUCUGCAGUUCUUCACAUAGCGGUCAUUAUCUUCAGGGCGUUGCUUCACGGUUGAACUUGACAACAUGGAGAGAAUGCUGAUGCAUAUAGAACUGACUGUCAUGGCAGGAGACCAUGAAUCA
rnacentral:misc_RNA from 1 species